CUGAGACUGGAUGAAGGGUGAGUUUUGCAUUUCUGUACCAAAUAAAGAGUAUAAACAAUAUCUUAAGAUAAGUCAAUAUUUGAACCACUUUAAAAUUUAUUAUUAUUAUUUUAUCCCC